UAUAAAAUGUAUUUAUAUUUCUUUUCAAAGAAAGUGGACAUCAUCUUGGGACUGCUGAAAGCAUGAAUAUCCUUUUUGGGUGGAAGUGUUAUUUUUUCGAAUUAUGUCAAACAUUUCAAGUCAUCCUGGAGCGGAAAAAUGUGAAGGUUUCAGUGAAGUACAUAAAAUCAUGAAAUUGUUUACAUCAUUAUGGAACCUGAAUUGUGCACAUCUGGUGUUGGG
rnacentral:misc_RNA from 1 species